rnacentral:rRNA from 1 species
CUGCCAGUAGUCAUACGCUCGUCUCAAAGAUUAAGCCAUGCAUGUGUAAGUAUAAAUAUUUUAAAACUUUAAAACUGCGAAUGGCUCAUUAUAUCAGUUAUAGUUUAUUUGAUGAAUUUUUAUACUACUUGGAUAACCGUAGUAAUUCUAGAGCUAAUACAUGCACAAAAUAUUAAUUUUUAUUAAUAUGUGUUUAUUAGUAUGAAAACCUUAAAGAGUCAAAUCUUUAUUAGUGAGUAAUAAUAACCUAACAUAUCGUAUGCUUCGGUAGCGAUAUAUCUUUUAAGUUUCUGCCCUAUCAGCUUUCGAUGGUAGUGUAUUGGACUACCAUGGCAGUAACGGGUAACGAAGAAUUUGGGUUCGAUUUCGGAGAGGGAGCCUGAGAGAUGGCUACCACAUCCAAGGAAGGCAGCAGGCGCGUAAAUUACCCAAUCCUAAUAUAGGGAGGUAGUGACAAUAAAUCACAAUGUGGAACUAUUAUAGUUUUGCAAUUGGAUUGAGAACAAUGUACAAACUUUAUCGAUUAACAAUUGGAGGGCAAGUCUGGUGCCAGCAGCCGCGGUAAUUCCAGCUCCAAUAGCGUAUAUUAACGUUGUUGCAU